GACAGAGGGUGCAAACGUUGUUCGGAAUUACUGGGCGUAAAGCGAGUGUAGGCGGUUCGGUAAGUCGGAUGUGAAAGCCCCGGGCUCAACCCGGGAAGUGCACUCGAUACUGCCGAGCUAGAGUAUCGGAGAGGUUGGUGGAAUUCUCGGUGUAGAGGUGAAAUUCGUAGAUAUCGAGAGGAACACCGGUGGCGAAGGCGGCCAACUGGACGAAUACUGACGCUGAGACUCGAAAGCGUGGGGAGCGAACAGG
rnacentral:rRNA from 1 species